UACGGAGGGGGCGAGUGUUGUUCGGAAUUACUGGGCGUAAAGCGCGCGUAGGCGGCUUUGCAAGUCGGGUGUGAAAUCCCCAGGCUUAACCUGGGAACUGCAUUCGAGACUGCAUUGCUAGAGUAUGGGAGAGGGAAGUGGAAUUUCCGGUGUAGCGGUGAAAUGCGUAGAUAUCGGAAGGAACAUCAGUGGCGAAAGCGACUUCCUGGACCAAUACUGACGCUCAUGUGCGAAAGCGCGGGGAGCAAACAGG
rnacentral:rRNA from 1 species